CAUCACCUGCAGAGUGAGAAGACAAGAUGAAGUGACAGCAAGUCACUUCCCACGAUCAUUCUGCAUAAUCACUUCCCACGAUCUCUGACAGCCGCAUCACCUACCAUGGUUUCUGACAGCCGUUCGUAGGGUGAUGAUGCUCCUACUGACGCCUAUUAUCAUCAUAACAACAUAAAAUAUCUCCUCACCAUUAAUGAGAGGAACA
rnacentral:lncRNA from 1 species